UUCCCUUAUUUUUUUCAUUUGCCUAUAUCUCCACGUUAGGCGUGGACUUUAUUAUGGGUCUUAUUUAUUCUUGCUCACUUGAUUUCAGGUGUUUUGCUUCUCCUG